AUCCUUUUCCAGUUCAUAAGCGCGAUGAUUGGGUGCUCACGCGCUUGCGUGACAUGUGCCUCCUUCUAAACCUUGUUACGACGUGGGCACAUUACCGAUCUGACG
ensembl:snoRNA